rnacentral:lncRNA from 1 species
AUCUGUUUGGAUUAACCAAAUUUGGCCUUACCAAAAUAUCUGUUAAACACGGCCCAGGAAAGCAAAACAUCCAAGGGUGAAGGAAACCAGUUUCCAUCCUGGUUGGAUUGCAAGGAAUUUGCAGAGGAGCUCAUCAUUCCUGAAGGAGAGGAAGCUUUGGUGUGUUUAACCAGGGAGAAGUUGCUUCAAAGCUCCUGGAUGUUGCUUUUCAGCAGGAAUCAGAGGGAUGCCCUGGACCAGGCACCAGCAAAUGUCUUCAGCAAUCCUGGUCUCUCCUGUUGGCUCCACAGGAAUGAAAGAGAGGGAAACGUCACCAGCAGAAGGCCCUCCUGCCUGCUGGCUCCCUUCUCCGCCCUUUGCUGGCUUCAGAAAGCAACAACGUGUGGGUGCCAGCCAGCAAACAGCAUGGUAAGAUUGGGUUCUUGAGAGUUUUUUGCCAGUGCAACUGAUUUUGAGCAUGCCAAGACCAGCCCCUCUGCCCUGAGUCCGUAUAUAACAGCUCGCUUUGGCAAAGAAACAACUGCAGCUAAUGGGAAGAGCAGCUUAUCUUGCAGGCAUCAAAAUGGUUCAGACCCGAACCUCCUAACCCCUGGUGUGCUGUCACUUCCCUAUCCAUCAGCAGUUCCA